AGAGUUUGAUCCUGGCUCAGGACGAACGCUGGCGGCGCGCCUAACACAUGCAAGUCGAACGAGCGAGAGAGAGCUUGCUUUCUCAAGCGAGUGGCGAACGGGUGAGUAACGCGUGAGGAACCUGCCUCAAAGAGGGGGACAACAGUUGGAAACGACUGCUAAUACCGCAUAAGCCCACGGCUCGGCAUCGAGCAGAGGGAAAAGGAGCAAUCCGCUUUGAGAUGGCCUCGCGUCCGAUUAGCUAGUUGGUGAGGUAACGGCCCACCAAGGCGACGAUCGGUAGCCGGACUGAGAGGUUGAACGGCCACAUUGGGACUGAGACACGGCCCAGACUCCUACGGGAGGCAGCAGUGGGGAAUAUUGCACAAUGGGGGAAACCCUGAUGCAGCGACGCCGCGUGGAGGAAGAAGGUCUUCGGAUUGUAAACUCCUGUUGUUGAGGAAGAUAAUGACGGUACUCAACAAGGAAGUGACGGCUAACUACGUGCCAGCAGCCGCGGUAAAACGUAGGUCACAAGCGUUGUCCGGAAUUACUGGGUGUAAAGGGAGCGCAGGCGGGAGAACAAGUUGGAAGUGAAAUCCAUGGGCUCAACCCAUGAACUGCUUUCAAAACUGUUUUUCUUGAGUAGUGCAGAGGUAGGCGGAAUUCCCGGUGUAGCGGUGGAAUGCGUAGAUAUCGGGAGGAACACCAGUGGCGAAGGCGGCCUACUGGGCACCAACUGACGCUGAGGCUCGAAAGUGUGGGUAGCAAACAGGAUUAGAUACCCUGGUAGUCCACACCGUAAACGAUGAUUACUAGGUGUUGGAGGAUUGACCCCUUCAGUGCCGCAGUUAACACAAUAAGUAAUCCACCUGGGGAGUACGACCGCAAGGUUGAAACUCAAAGGAAUUGACGGGGGCCCGCACAAGCAGUGGAGUAUGUGGUUUAAUUCGACGCAACGCGAAGAACCUUACCAAGUCUUGACAUCCUGCGACGGUGCUGGAAACAGUACUUUCCUUCGGGACGCAGAGACAGGUGGUGCAUGGUUGUCGUCAGCUCGUGUCGUGAGAUGUUGGGU
rnacentral:rRNA from 1 species